rnacentral:rRNA from 1 species
CAGUCGCCACGGUAAUACGUAGGGUGCAAGCGUUAAUCGGAAUUACUGGGCGUAAAGCGUGCGCAGGCGGUUAUAUAAGACAGUCGUGAAAUCCCCGGGCUCAACCUGGGAACUGCGAUUGUGACUGUAUGGCUAGAGUGUGUCAGAGGGGGGUAGAAUUCCACGUGUAGCAGUGAAAUGCGUAGAUAUGUGGAGGAAUACCGAUGGCGAAGGCAGCCCCCUGGGAUAACACUGACGCUCAUGCACGAAAGCGUGGGGAGCAAACAGGAUUAGAUACCCCAGUAGUCCCUGUCUCUUAUAC